rnacentral:rRNA from 1 species
GAAUUCGCCCUUGAGUUUGAUUCUGGCUCAGGACGAACGCUGGCGGCGCGCCUAACACAUGCAAGUCGAACGAGCGAGAGAGAGCUUGCUUUCUCGAGCGAGUGGCGAACGGGUGAGUAACGCGUGAGGAACCUGCCUCAAAGAGGGGGACAACAGUUGGAAACGACUGCUAAUACCGCAUAAGCCCACGGGUCGGCAUCGACCAGAGGGAAAAGGAGCAAUCCGCUUUGAGAUAGCCUCGCGUCCGAUUAGCUAGUUGGUGAGGUAACGGCCCACCAAGGCAACGAUCGGUAGCCGGACUGAGAGGUUGAACGGCCACAUUGGGACUGAGACACGGCCCAGACUCCUACGGGAGGCAGCAGUGGGGAAUAUUGCACAAUGGGGGAAACCCUGAUGCAGCGACGCCGCGUGGAGGAAGAAGGUCUUCGGAUUGUAAACUCCUGUUGUUGAGGAAGAUAAUGACGGUACUCAACAAGGAAGUGACGGCUAACUACGUGCCAGCAGCCGCGGUAAAACGUAGGUCACAAGCGUUGUCCGGAAUUACUGGGUGUAAAGGGAGCGCAGGCGGGAAGACAAGUUGGAAGUGAAAUCCAUGGGCUCAACCCAUGAACUGCUUUCAAAACUGUUUUUCUUGAGUAGUGCAGAGGUAGGCGGAAUUCCCGGUGUAGCGGUGGAAUGCGUAGAUAUCGGGAGGAACACCAGUGGCGAAGGCGGCCUACUGGGCACCAACUGACGCUGAGGCUCGAAAGUGUGGGUAGCAAACAGGAUUAGAUACCCUGGUAGUCCACACCGUAAACGAUGAUUACUAGGUGUUGGAGGAUUGACCCCUUCGUGCCGCAGUUAAACACAAUAAGUAAUCCAGGUGGGGAGUAGGAGCGCAAGGUUGGAACUCAGAGGAAUUGACGGGGGCCCGCGCAAACAGUGGAGUAUGUGGUUUAAUUAGACGCAACGCGAAGAACCUUACCAAGUCUUGACAUCCUGCGACGCACAUAGAAAUAUGUGUUUCCUUCGGGACGCAGAGACAGGUGGUGCAUGGUUGUCGUCAGCUCGUGUCGUGAGAUGUUGGGUUAAGUCCCGCAACGAGCGCAACCCUUAUGGUCAGUUACUACGCAAGAGGACUCUGGCCAGACUGCCGUUGACAAAACGGAGGAAGGUGGGGAUGACGUCAAAUCAUCAUGCCCUUUAUGACUUGGGCUACACACGUACUACAAUGGCGUUAAACAAAGAGAAGCAAGACCGCGAGGUGGAGCAAAACUCAGAAACAACGUCCCAGUUCGGACUGCAGGCUGCAACUCGCCUGCACGAAGUCGGAAUUGCUAGUAAUCGUGGAUCAGCAUGCCACGG